ensembl:lncRNA
GUGGGUGUUUCUGUCAAGGAUUUCCUCCUCUUCUUCCGAAGAGGAGAGGCGAAACGGAUCAGAAGACCAAUAUGCGGCGUGGAGAUAGCUGUACACUGUAUGGGCAUCUCAGGAGUCUCAAGAGAGGUUUGUUCUGGUGACAUUGGGGACUCGCUGGUGCAAGCUGCCCCUAGAAACUCUACCUCAGCUUCCCCCUGAGUUCCCCCUAGAGUGUUGUGGUGUGUUUGUGGACUCCCGUGGAGAGAUCGGCUGGUCACAUCUACCUAUAGUUAGUAUACAUACAUGCAGAUACUAUGAAAAACUAAAUAGAGGCGUGUCUUGGUGAAUCAGAUUUGAACAAGGAUGAACAGAUGAGUCAUGCCAAAGGUGUAUCUAAUUUAACUGAGUUUCAGGGUGGUAAAGAGGGACACCAACACAUGCAACAUGUGUGAGCAAGACACUGUGAGCAAGACAAAGGAGCUGAUCGUGUAGUACAGGAAAAGGCGGGCUGAACAGGUCCUCAUUAACAUCAACGGGGCUGUAGUGGAGCGGGUCGAGAGUUUCAAGUUCCUUGGUGUCCACAUCACCAACGAACUAUCAUGGUCCAAACACACCAAGACAGUGGUGUAGAGGGCCCAACAACAUCUUUUUCCCCCUCAGGAGACUGAAAAGAUUUGGCAUGGGUCCCCAGAUCCUCAAAAGGUUCUACAGCUGUACCAUCGAGAGUAUCCUGACCGGUUGCAUCACCGCAUGGUAUGGCAACUGCUCGGCCUCCAACCGCAAGGCACUACAGAGGGUAGUGCGUACGGCCCAGUACAUCACUGGGGCCACGUUUCCUGCCAUCCAGGAUCUCUAUACUAGGCGGUGUUAGAAGAAAGACCAAACAUUUUUCAAAGACUCCGAUCACCCAAGUCAUAGACUGUUCUCUCUGCUACCGCACAGCAAGCGGUACUGGAGUGCCAAGUCUAGGACCAAAAGGCUCCUUAAAACAGCUUCUACCCC